AGUGAACGCUGGCGGUAGGCCUAACACAUGCAAGUCGAACGGCAGCACAGUAAGAGCUUGCUCUUACGGGUGGCGAGUGGCGGACGGGUGAGGAAUACAUCGGAAUCUACUUUUUCGUGGGGGAUAACGUAGGGAAACUUACGCUAAUACCGCAUACGACCUACGGGUGAAAGCAGGGGAUCUUCGGACCUUGCGCGAUUGAAUGAGCCGAUGUCGGAUUAGCUAGUUGGCGGGGUAAAGGCCCACCAAGGCGACGAUCCGUAGCUGGUCUGAGAGGAUGAACACACACACUGAAAGAGAGACACGGUCCACACUUCUACGAGGGGAAGGAGUGGAGAAUUUGGGACAGGGGGCGAGAGCGAGAUCGAGCCAUACCGCGUGGGAAGAGAAGGCCUUGGUGUUGUAGAGCUCUUUUGUGGGAAAAAAAAAGGAGCAGUUAAAUACCCCGCUGUUGAGACGAUACCAAAAAAAAACGCACGGUAAAACCGUG
rnacentral:rRNA from 1 species